UUAAGCGACCAAGCGUACACGGUGGAUGCCCUGGCAGUCAGAGGCGAUGAAGGACGUGCUAAUCUGCGAUAAGCGCCGGUAAGGUGAUAUGAACCGUUAUAACCGGCGAUUUCCGAAUGGGGAAACCCAGUGUGAUUCGUCACACUAUCAUUAACUGAAUCCAUAGGUUAAUGAGGCGAACCGGGGGAACUGAAACAUCUAAGUACCCCGAGGAAAAGAAAUCAACCGAGAUUCCCCCAGUAGCGGCGAGCGAACGGGGAGGAGCCCAGAGCCUGAAUCAGCAUGUGUGUUAGUGGAAGCGUCUGGAAAGGCGCGCGAUACAGGGUGACAGCCCCGUACACAAAAGCGCAUGUGCUGUGAGCUCGAUGAGUAGGGCGGGACACGUGGUAUCCUGUCUGAAUAUGGGGGGACCAUCCUCCAAGGCUAAAUACUCCUGACUGACCGAUAGUGAACCAGUACCGUGAGGGAAAGGCGAAAAGAACCCCGGCGAGGGGAGUGAAACAGAACCUGAAACCGUGUACGUACAAGCAGUGGGAGCACAGGUUUACCUGUGUGACUGCGUACCUUUUGUAUAAUGGGUCAGCGACUUAUAUUCUGUAGCAAGGUUAACCGCAUAGGGGAGCCGAAGGGAAACCGAGUCUUAAUUGGGCGUUAAGUUGCAGGGUAUAGACCCGAAACCCGGUGAUCUAGCCAUGGGCAGGUUGAAGGUUGGGUAACACUAACUGGAGGACCGAACCGACUAAUGUUGAAAAAUUAGCGGAUGACCUGUGGCUGGGGGUGAAAGGCCAAUCAAACCGGGAGAUAGCUGGUUCUCCCCGAAAGCUAUUUAGGUAGCGCCUCGUGAAUUCAUCUCCGGGGGUAGAGCACUGUUUCGGCUAGGGGGCCAUCCCGGCUUACCAACCCGAUGCAAACUGCGAAUACCGGAGAAUGUUAUCACGGGAGACACACGGCGGGUGCUAACGUCCGUCGUGAAGAGGGAAACAACCCAGACCGCCAGCUAAGGUCCCAAAGUCAUGGUUAAGUGGGAAACGAUGUGGGAAGGCCCAGACAGCCAGGAUGUUGGCUUAGAAGCAGCCAUCAUUUAAAGAAAGCGUAAUAGCUCACUGGUCGAGUCGGCCUGCGCGGAAGAUGUAACGGGGCUAAACCAUGCACCGAAGCUGCGGCAGCGACACUGUGUGUUGUUGGGUAGGGGAGCGUUCUGUAAGCCGUUGAAGGUGUGUCGUGAGGCAUGCUGGAGGUAUCAGAAGUGCGAAUGCUGACAUAAGUAACGAUAAAGCGGGUGAAAAGCCCGCUCGCCGGAAGACCAAGGGUUCCUGUCCAACGUUAAUCGGGGCAGGGUGAGUCGACCCCUAAGGCGAGGCCGAAAGGCGUAGUCGAUGGGAAACGGGUUAAUAUUCCCGUACUUGGUGUUACUGCGAAGGGGGGACGGAGAAGGCUAUGUUGGCCGGGCGACGGUUGUCCCGGUUUAAGCGUGUAGGUGUGUGUUCCAGGUAAAUCCGGUUCACUUUAACACUGAGGCGUGACGACGAGGCACUACGGUGCUGAAGCAACAAAUGCCCUGCUUCCAGGAAAAGCCUCUAAGCAUCAGGUAACAUCAAAUCGUACCCCAAACCGACACAGGUGGUCAGGUAGAGAAUACCAAGGCGCUUGAGAGAACUCGGGUGAAGGAACUAGGCAAAAUGGUGCCGUAACUUCGGGAGAAGGCACGCUGACACGUAGGUGAAGUGGUUUACCCAUGGAGCUGAAGUCAGUCGAAGAUACCAGCUGGCUGCAACUGUUUAUUAAAAACACAGCACUGUGCAAACACGAAAGUGGACGUAUACGGUGUGACGCCUGCCCGGUGCCGGAAGGUUAAUUGAUGGGGUCAGCGCAAGCGAAGCUCCUGAUCGAAGCCCCGGUAAACGGCGGCCGUAACUAUAACGGUCCUAAGGUAGCGAAAUUCCUUGUCGGGUAAGUUCCGACCUGCACGAAUGGCGUAAUGAUGGCCAGGCUGUCUCCACCCGAGACUCAGUGAAAUUGAACUCGCUGUGAAGAUGCAGUGUACCCGCGGCAAGACGGAAAGACCCCGUGAACCUUUACUAUAGCUUGACACUGAACAUUGAGCCUUGAUGUGUAGGAUAGGUGGGAGGCUUUGAAGCGUGGACGCCAGUCUGCGUGGAGCCAACCUUGAAAUACCACCCUUUAAUGUUUGAUGUUCUAACGUGGACCCGUGAUCCGGGUUGCGGACAGUGUCUGGUGGGUAGUUUGACUGGGGCGGUCUCCUCCUAAAGAGUAACGGAGGAGCACGAAGGUUGGCUAAUCCUGGUCGGACAUCAGGAGGUUAGUGCAAUGGCAUAAGCCAGCUUGACUGCGAGCGUGACGGCGCGAGCAGGUGCGAAAGCAGGUCAUAGUGAUCCGGUGGUUCUGAAUGGAAGGGCCAUCGCUCAACGGAUAAAAGGUACUCCGGGGAUAACAGGCUGAUACCGCCCAAGAGUUCAUAUCGACGGCGGUGUUUGGCACCUCGAUGUCGGCUCAUCACAUCCUGGGGCUGAAGUAGGUCCCAAGGGUAUGGCUGUUCGCCAUUUAAAGUGGUACGCGAGCUGGGUUUAGAACGUCGUGAGACAGUUCGGUCCCUAUCUGCCGUGGGCGCUGGAGAACUGAGGGGGGCUGCUCCUAGUACGAGAGGACCGGAGUGGACGCAUCACUGGUGUUCGGGUUGUCAUGCCAAUGGCACUGCCCGGUAGCUAAAUGCGGAAGAGAUAAGUGCUGAAAGCAUCUAAGCACGAAACUUGCCCCGAGAUGAGUUCUCCCUGAGACUUAGAGUCUCCUGAAGGAACGUUGAAGACGACGACGUUGAUAGGCCGGGUGUGUAAGCGCAGCGAUGCGUUGAGCUAACCGGUACUAAUGAACCGUGAGGCUUAACCUU
rnacentral:rRNA from 2 species